rnacentral:tRNA from 1 species
CGAAAAUAGCUUAAUAGGCAAAGCGUGAUUUUGCCAAAGUCAUUAUGAGGGUUCGAGUCCCUUUUUUCGCU